rnacentral:rRNA from 1 species
UACGGAGGGUGCAAGCGUUAAUCGGAAUUACUGGGCGUAAAGCGCACGCAGGCGGUCUGUUAAGUCAGAUGUGAAAUCCCCGGGCUUAACCUGGGAACUGCAUUUGAUACUGGCAGGCUAGAGUCUAGUAGAGGGAGGUAGAAUUCCAGGUGUAGCGGUGAAAUGCGUAGAGAUCUGGAGGAAUACCGGUGGCGAAGGCGGCCUCCUGGACCAAUACUGACGCUCAGGUGCGAAAGCGUGGGGAGCAAACAGG